rnacentral:rRNA from 1 species
AUUGAACGCUGGCGGAAUGCUUUACACAUGCAAGUCGAACGGCAGCACGGACUUCGGUCUGGUGGCGAGUGGCGAACGGGUGAGUAAUGUAUCGGAACGUGCCCAGUCGUGGGGGAUAACGUAGUGAAAAUUACGCUAAUACCGCAUACGAUCUAUGGAUGAAAGCGGGGGAUCGCAAGACCUCGCGCGAUUGGAGCGGCCGAUAUCAGAUUAGGUAGUUGGUGGGGUAAAGGCCCACCAAGCCAACGAUCUGUAGCUGGUCUGAGAGGACGGGCAGCCACACUGGAACUGAGACGCGGUCCAGACUCCUACGGGAGGCAGCAGUGGGGAAUUUUGGACAAUGGGCGAAAGCCUGAUCCAGCCAUUCCGCGUGCAGGAUGAAGGCCCUCGGGUUGUAAACUGCUUUUGUACAGAACGAAAAGGUUUCUACUAAUACUAGGAGCUCAUGACGGUACUGUAAGAAUAAGCACCGGCUAACUACGUGCCAGCCGCCGCGGUAA